GUGUUUUUAAUUGUCUUGUAUUUAUUUUAUUGUACCAUUUUUAUUUUAUUGGACCCUCUAUUUUUUUACUGGGCUUAUUUUGGCCAUUUAAGUGUGUUUUUUUUCUGUUUUGGGCCUAGCCCAUUCACUGCCACUAUAGCCCAGCCCGAGAACUCCACUCAACUAUACCUAUACGGUGCGUUUUAAGAAAAUUAGGUUUACACUUUACAGAACAAUUUUUUUUUUCCUUCUCUCCUCAUUCGGUCCCGUGCGGCGUGCCUCUCCCUUCUCUCCUCAUUCGGUCCCUGCCCUGCGCCGACUCCCAAUCUCCCCUCUCUAGUCUCUUCUUCUUCUUCUUCCAUUCUUCUUCUUGAAUCUUCACUCUUCAGACUUCAGUUUCUUCCUCUCCUCACAGUCACCGUCGUGCCUCACUGCCCUGGUGCAUCUCGGUGGGUCUUCCACGCACAGCCCUCGUCGACGCCGUGAACCUCCCCUCACGCAGCCCCUCUCACGGACCCAUGGUAAUUUUUAGUUGAAAAUACAGGAUUGACCAAGCUGAGUAAAUAGGAAUGCAGGAGUUGAGAUGAUUUAUUUGUUUUCUGCUUAUUUUUUCUGGAGAAGUUGAAAACUCGGGAUUGACUAGGCUGAGUAAAUAAGACGGCAUGAGAUGGGAUGAUUUGUUUGUUUCUUGUUGUAUGGUUCAACCUCUAGUCUAGAGGAAACAUGGUGGUUCUAUUUGUUAGACUGUUCAUCUGCAUUUUGGUGGAAGGUCUCUAUGUUCUGUUCUUAAGAGGCGCGCGCAGUCUUGUGCUUUCUGUCUUCUCUGGGUUGUUUUUGCCCAAUUCUUUUGUUUCUUUAAUCCGUGUGGUGGUCAAGUUUGGAACAAGUUUGAGGGUUCUUUUAGCAAGGCUGUUGAUCUGCGGUUUAGAGCAAGGUCUCAGUGUUUUGUUCCUACUAGAGCCAAUUAUGUAGUCAGGAGUACCUUUGAACAACAAUUCGAUGGAGAUUUUUUAUGUAAAAGAUGUUACAAGUUUUAUAAUUCAAGAAUCUUACAAGUUUUAUAAUUCUUGAAUUUAUAAUUACAAUAGCAUAUUAACAAUUUAUAAGGCAGAUUUUUCGUAACAGAUUUUUUUUA